GUGUCUCGAGCUUCAUUCAUACUUCACACACGUUCAUUCACACUUCACACACGAGCUUCUUCCUCACGAGCUGCGUGCUUCUUCUCUGGUCGCACGAGCUUCUUCCGCCGUUGCCACCGUUCGCAUCGCACAAUCUCUCUGUCAUCUCUUGCGUCACACGAGCUCCUUCCGCCACUGUUCUCGUCGCGUCUGCUCCCUUGGUCGCCAUUGUUGCAGAGCUCCAUCCGCUUCUCUCAUCGCAUCUGCUCCCUUCAUCGCCGUCGUCAUAGAGCUCUCUCCACCGCCGCUCUUGUUGCGUUUGCUCCCUUAGUCAAUUUCAGGUAUAAUCUGAUUUUGUGAUUUUGGUGCUUAGAGCUCAAUUUUUCUGUGCCAAUUUUAGGUUUAUCAAUUUUUCUUAGCAGUUUCUAUCUUCUUGUUGCUGUUGAUGCUGAUUGAGCUUGUUGUAGGUUUAUCAAUUAGGUCAAAAUCGAAGUGGCGACUAUUCAAGGAGUAGGGAUCUUGUGGAGAGGUGCCUAAUAGUUGUGCUUCUGCUCUUAUGGAGGAGGCUAGAGGUAUUUGGUCUGACUUUCUUGUUACUGUUCUCUAUGAAGAGUGGAGAAAGUGUAAAAGAGGUGAAUUUCAUAUAAUUUAUUGUGCUGCUUAAUUAUUGAGAGUUCAAGAGUUAAAUGACAGCCAUGGAGAUCUCCAUUAGUUUCAUCUUUAGAUUAUUAUACUACAUCAAUGGACUAGAUGCAGUCAUAACCAACAUUAUGAAAAUGCCAAAGGAGCUUAUUCAAAGUUCAAAAGUUAAUUUUGUUAUGCCUGCUAUCGAUGCUCUUGAUGGACACAAUCGUCUUGGAUUUCUUGUCUCAAGUAACUUAUAUUUUCUCAAAGAUCAUGAUGAAAUUGCCAGGGUACACUUUUUAAUAGCACUUGGUAAACCGGUAUCUUCCAACCCUCAGACUUCCCUCUUUUCUCAACCCCCAUUCCCAAAUCAAUUUGCUGCAUAAAAGAUGAAAGGGACAAUGGUUUGGUAUGAUUUUGACAGGUGAAAAAUGGGCAUGAUGGCUUCCUUGCAGUUUAGAGUGGAAUUGCCUACCUCAGAGGGAUUCUGCACAUCUUCCCUAACUGUAGUUUGAUAAGGAACCUUGUUGGCUAUCUCUCACUAUCUGGUAAAGAGUCGAACAGUUGCCAUCUGGCUACAAGGUGUUGUAAACUGGACCUUCUUGACAUUUCUGAUAAAGAAGGUUUAAAAUCAGCUUCUGAUAUUCAUGGUGCUGCAGUAGUUGCCUGCUAUGCCAAUGGAAACAGCAACCCAAAGUCUACUUUUCAAACUUGUACAAAUCAGUACUAAUUUACUAACAUUUUUGGUGUAUGCUGGCUUGUAAAUUAUUCUUAGGAAACUGUAUUUAGUUUUCAAAAAUUUGGAUAUGUUAAUAUCAAUGUUUAUACUCACUUUUGUUUCCUCUGUUUCUUUGUUUUGAAGAGCCGAGAAUUUUUUAUGUUUUAGUGUUUAUCUUGUUCUAUUUCAUUGAUA